rnacentral:lncRNA from 1 species
GCUUAUUUUCGGCACCCCGAGGCCCCUCGCAAAGUCUCACCCCAUUCCGAGUCCGGCGGACGAACUUCGCCCGCGCCCCCCACCAAGGCUAUAGCCCACCCGUUUUUUGGCCAUUUUUCCGCUGGGGGGUUUUGGCACCACGACCUUCGGGCGCUUAUUUUUGGGCGCGGCUUUGUCCGCGGAUUAUUUUUGGCACCCCGAGGCCCCUCGCAAAGUCUCGCCCCAUUCCGAGUCCGGCGGACGAACUUCGCCCGCGCCCCCCACCAAGGCUAUAGCCCACGACCCGUUUUUUGGCCAUUUUUCCGCUGGGGUGUUUUGACACCACGACCUUCGGGCGCUUAUUUUUGGCCGCGGCUUUGCCCGCGGCUUAUUUUUGGCACCCCGAGGCCCCUCGCAAAGUCUCGCCCCAUUCCGAGUCCGGCGGACGAACUUCUCCCCGCGCCCCCCGCCAAGGCUAUAGCCCACGACCUGUUUUUUGGCCAUUUUUCCACUGGGGGGUUUUGGCACCACGACCUUCGGGCGCUUAUUUUUUGGCGCUGCUUUGCCCGCGGCUUAUUUUUUGCACCCCGAGGCCCCUCGCAAAGUCUCGCCCCAUUCCGAGUCCGGCGGACGAACUUCGCCCGCGCCCCCCACCAAGGCUAUAGCCCACGACCCGUUUUUUGGCCUUUUUUCCGCUGGGGGGUUUUGGCACCACGGCCUUCGGGCGCUUAUUUUUGGGCGCGGCUUUGCCCGCGGCUUAUUUUUGUCACCCCGAGGCCCCUCGCAAAGUCUCGCCCCAUU